UACGGAGGGUGCGAGCGUUGUUCGGAAUUAUUGGGCGUAAAGGGCAGGUAGGUGGUCUAGUCAGUCUACUGUGAAAUCCCUGGGCUUAACCCAGGAAGUGCGGUGGAUACUGCUAGACUAGAGUGCUAUAGGGGUGCGUGGAAUUCCCGGUCGUAGCGGUGAAAUGCGUAGAUAUCGGGAGGAACACCAGAGGCGAAAGCGGCGCACUGGAGAGCAACUGACACUCAACUGCGAAAGC
rnacentral:rRNA from 1 species